UACCAGCACCCCGAGUGGUCGGGACGUUUUAUUGGGCCUAAAGCAUCCGUAGCCGGUUCUGCAAGUCUUCCGUUAAAUCCACCUGUUUAACAGAUGGGCUGCGGAAGAUACUAUAGAGCUAGGAGGCGGGAGAGGCAAGCGGUACUCGAUGGGUAGGGGUAAAAUCCGUUGAUCCAUUGAAGACCACCAGUGGCGAAGGCGGCUUGCCAGAACGCGCUCGACGGUGAGGGAUGAAAGCUGGGGGAGCAAACCGG
rnacentral:rRNA from 1 species